rnacentral:RNase_P_RNA from 1 species
CGAGCCGACUGGACGGCCGCGUCGUAAGCAUCACUCUCUCGCCAGAGCGGUGCUUGCGCCGAGGAAAGUCCGGACUCCACAGGGCAGGGUGGUUGCCAACAGCAACCCGGGGUGACCCGCGGGACAGUGCCACAGAAAACAAACCGCCGACGGCUGGUUCGCCGGUCGCCGGUAAGGGUGAAACGGCGGUGUAAGAGACCACCAGCGUUCCGGGUGACCGGAACGGCUAGGUAAACCCCACCCGGAGCAAGGUCAAGUAGCGCCGGUACGCCGGUGUGCGCAGACGUUCGAGGGCGGCCCGCCCGAGUCUGCGGGUAGACCGCUCGAGCCUGCCGGCAACGGCAGGCCUAGAUGGAUGGCCGUCACCCGGCGCGCAAGCGGCGGGAACAGGAUCCGGCUUACAGGCCGACUCGUCCG